UUCGAACAACACCACAUUUGCAGCCAUUGAUGACAUUGAUGCCUUCUACCACCUAUCCUAAGCAGCUGAUUAUGCGAAGGUACCACUAACCCAAAAAAUGAAUAUUGUUAUAUAUGUUAACGCACGUAUUUAUUGCAGUCAAGUACCAACGCAGCCAUACCCAAGAAGGAACAAUUCUACAGCCUAUUCAAAGAUAACAGGAAGCUGAGUAAGAAUGCAAUGACAACCAACAAGGAGCAAUACCCUAGCCAAUUCAAAAAUUAUCAGAAGUUGGGUUAAAAUGCCAUGACAACCAACAAAGAGGAAUUUCGUAGCCCAAUCAAAGAUUCCCAGAAGGUAUUUUUUUUUUUACUAUCAUGGUUUAAGUGUUUAAUAUGUUUUCUAAUUUUCCCUAAAUUUUUAUUAUUUAAUCUGACAAUGAAAACAUGGAGAUUAUUUUCAUAUGGUCAAUUUUUCAGUCCCUGCAAAUCUGAUAUGCACAGGAAGGUAAGAGUUUUAUAACAACUGGCAAUUGCACAAUAAUAUCAUACAGGGGUGUGAAUUUUUGACACGACCUGAAAAUACGACACGAACCAAAUACGAAAUUCACGGGUUCGGGGCAGUUUCAGGUUGAGCCCGCUUAGCUAAACGGGUCAGGUUCGGGUCAACCUGGUCGCGGUUGACCCGUUUAACCCAUUUAUAUUAAAAUUAUAUUUUUACAAUAUGUUUUAUAUCAUAAAUAUAAUUAGGUGUGUAACUUUAUGUCAUAAUUAUAACUUAAAAAGGGAAAUUGACAUAAGAUUUUAUGAUUUUAAUGUAAUCAUAUUAUAUAAAUUUGUGUGUUUUUUUGUAGUAGAUGUUAAUUUUUAAUAUAUUAAUUUGCUGAAAAUUUUUUUGGGUUGAAUGGGUCGAGUUCGGGUCAGCCUGAGAAUAUUCAGGCCGGGUUCGGGUUCAUAUGUAUGACACAUUUUUUGCCUUCGGGUCGGGUCGUUCAAAUUUUUCGGUUCGGGUCGGGUUGAACCCAUCAACCCGCGAACACAACCUGUUUAGCACCCCUAAUAUCAUAUGGUCUAAUUUUUAAGUCAUUGUCACACAUAUAUAUAUAUAUAUAUGUAAUUACAUUAUAAAAUGUAUUUUUCUAUUUUCAGUUGUAGAAGCUUGAAAAGCAAUAGAUAGAAAACAUGUCUUUUAAAUUGGAAAUAGGAUGAAGUCAUUGACAUAUAUGCAUUUCAACUGUAAAUCAACAACAAUAUGAAUCUAAUGUAUCAAAUCUGAG